rnacentral:rRNA from 1 species
GUGGGGAAUUUUGGACAAUGGGGGCAACCCUGAUCCAGCAAUGCCGCGUGCAGGAAGAAGGCCUUCGGGUUGUAAACUGCUUUUGUACGGAACGAAACGGUCUGGGUUAAUACCCUGGGCUAAUGACGGUACCGUAAGAAUAAGCACCGGCUAACUACGUGCCAGCAGCCGCGGUAAUACGUAGGGUGCGAGCGUUAAUCGGAAUUACUGGGCGUAGAGCGUGCGCAGGCGGUUUUGUAAGACAGGCGUGAAAUCCCCGGGCUCAACCUGGGAAUGGCGCUUGUGACUGCAAAGCUGGAGUGCGGCAGAGGGGGAUGGAAUUCCGCGUGUAGCAGUGAAAUGCUUAGAUAUGCGGAGGAACACCGAUGGCGAAGGCAAUCCCCUGGGCCUGCACUGACGCUCAUGCACGAAAGCGUGGGGAGCAAACAGGAUUAGAAACCCCGGUAGUCC